AUAAUUAUCUGAAGUGAGAGAUGUAUGUAAAUUAU
rnacentral:guide_RNA from 1 species